rnacentral:rRNA from 1 species
AUUGAACGCUGGCGGCAGGCCUAACACAUGCAAGUCGAACGGUAACAGGAAGAAGCUUGCUUCUUUGCUGACGAGUGGCGGACGGGUGAGUAAUGUCUGGGAAACUGCCUGAUGGAGGGGGAUAACUACUGGAAACGGUAGCUAAUACCGCAUAAUGUCGCAAGACCAAAGAGGGGGACCUUCGGGCCUCUUGCCAUCGGAUGUGCCCAGAUGGGAUUAGCUAGUAGGUGGGGUAACGGCUCACCUAGGCGACGAUCCCUAGCUGGUCUGAGAGGAUGACCAGCCACACUGGAACUGAGACACGGUCCAGACUCCUACGGGAGGCAGCAGUGGGGAAUAUUGCACAAUGGGCGCAGGCCUGAUGCAGCUAUGCCGCGUGUAUGAAGAAGGCCUUCGGGUUGUAAAGUACUUUCAGCGGGGAGGAAGGGAGUAAAGUUAAUACCUUUGCUCAUUGACGUUACCCGCAGAAGAAGCACCGGCUAACUCCGUG